UACAGAGGGUGCGAGCGUUGUCCGGAAUCACUGGGCGUAAAGGGCGCGUAGGCGGCUUGGUAAGCGUGCGGUGAAAGCUCGGGGCUCAACCCCGAGUCUGCCGUGCGAACUGCCGGGCUUGAGCACAGUAGAGGCAGAUGGAAUUCCGGGUGUAGCGGUGGAAUGCGUAGAGAUCCGGAAGAACACCAGUGGCGAAGGCGACAUACUGGUCCGUUACUGACGCUGAGGCUCGAAAGCGUGGGGAGCAAACAGG
rnacentral:rRNA from 1 species